ACACUGGAGGGUGUGUCUUAUGGAGAGGUGCUUUUGCCUCUUCCCUGUUUUAGCUAGUCCUCAAUCUGGUCCAGUGUCGAGUCCUGCCUCCUGCCUCACUUCCAGUCCUCCUGUUACAGAUGAAGAAACAAGGGAAACAAGGGCUCAGCAAGAUUCACCCCCACCACCAGCUUCCCGGCAAUGAAUUCUCAAUGAAGCUUUGUUUUCAACGGGCUCUUCCUUGCCUGUGACUCCAGGUGGCAAAUCUGACAUUCUGCUUCCCCUGCACGCCAUGGGCUUCCAGAUCUGAGCCCUUAUGAUGUGCUGAAUUUUUACUGACUUCAGCCCCAAGCUGUCCAGAUAACCAAUUCCAGCUUCUCCGAGCUUCCUCCAAUAUCCACUGCCUGUAACCACUCCUGACACCAACUUCUAUAUAAGGCAAGGUUCUCAGUUGCAGGCAACAGAAACCAGCUCCGGUUAACUUAUGAAGAAACAGAUGUUCAAAGAAUGGAUAUAGAAAAGGAUAUUCAAAGAAUUCCAGGUGACUCAUGCAUUGCUGAGCAGGCUUGGAGACCUGGGUUUCUGGUAUGCAAACAGGAUCAAUCCUCUCCGAUGCAGCCUGAGAUGUGACAGUUGGUGGGUCAGCAGCCAUUCUGUAGUAAUGAGAUGAUAAGGAUGACGAAGAGAUUACAGGAACUCCAGCCCUGCCAUCAUCAAGGCAAGUGUUACUGCCUCUUGAUUUCUUGUUAUGGAAGAAAGAUUAAUGCCUAUUUUUCUUCCCUAAACCACUAUAAAUUGGAUUUUUCUUUG